rnacentral:pre_miRNA from 1 species
UUUCUACUCCCUCUGUCCGAAAAUACUUGUCAUCAAAAUGGAUAAAAAGAGAUGUAUCUAAAACUAAAAUAUGUCUAGAUACAUUUCCUUUUAUCCAUUUUGAUGACAAGUAUUUCCAGACGGAGGGAGUAUUUG